CUUGCUCCCACAUAUGAGGUCCAGCCUGCCCAGUGACAUUGUUCAACGGCCGCGGUAUCCUAACCGUGCGAAGGUAGCGUAAUCACUUGUUCUUUAAAUAAGGACUAGUAUGAAAGGCACCACGAGAGUCAUACUGUCUCCUUUCUCUAAUCAGUGAAACUGAUCUCCCCGUGAAGAAGCGGGGAUAAAAAUAUAAGACGAGAAGACCCUAUGGAGCUUAAAACAAAUAACACUUGCCCCCCCUAACUUCUAAUUUCAGAAAAAUUUUCUACCCGAGCAUCAUGGUUAUUAGUUUUCGGUUGGGGUGACCACGGAGUAAAAAGCAACCUCCGCAAUGAAAGACACUCAUCCACUUAGUUAAGGGCUACAACCCCAGACAUCAACAAAUUGACACUAAUUGACCCAACAUGUUGAUCAAUGAAC
rnacentral:rRNA from 1 species